UAUCCUGUCAUUAUAGAUGCUUUUGAAGAAUGUAGGUAACUGCAUGUAGGUCACUGAUUUAUUGCACUGCUGUACUACGUAUGAAUUGCUGGGAAAGUUGCAGUCAAUUUUAUAGCCUAAGAAUCUCAUCUUAAGAGAUGUAUUUAAUUGGAGGAAAUCAAAAUGCUAAAGUUUAUGAUGGGAAAGGAUUUUUCCUCAAGUAUUACUGUCUUGCACUGUAUUUUGUUUAUGUCAUUUGUUUAAGAGUGCAUAAUUGCUUUCUUUCUGUCAUUGUUUUUUUCAGAAUUUACAGACAUAAACUAAACAUGUUGAGCUGUGUUAUUCCUGAGCUUGAUGAAGGAAAUAUCUGUCCUACUUGUCCCAAAACUGAUGGUGUGAUCUUUGAGUCUCUUGAUGCUCUAUUUAUUGGAGGAAGGAAAAAGCUGGGCAGAGUCUUGGAAAACCUCUAUUUGGACAGCUGAUGUUCUAUGAUCAGACACAUGUUGAUCAAUUUGUUGCCAAUUAUACCACACCUACCUCAAACAAGGAGUGUCAUGGUUUUCUUGCUGGGAAUGCUGUUCAAUCAAUGAAUUGCUACAGAGCUCUUGAUAAAAAAGCAAUCUUUGGGCAAGGCUGUCGACAUGGGUUCCCUUAAAAAUUGUUAAAUUUGAAACAUGGAGAGAGAUUGAGCUAUGCAGUUUAUGUUCUCCAAGAAUUAGAGAAAGAUAAUGUUGAUAAUCCUGCACUCAAAAUAAACAUAUUGUAUGAUGUUGCAUGCAUGUUGGUGAAACACUUACAGAAUUUGGAUGAUCCGAUUGUUGACAUUUUUCAAUUUUCAACUCCAAUUUUUCACUGCUAUGGGCAUGUUGGACGAUGCCAAGUUAAAUUUAGUCCCCGUCGUAAAGAAGGUUUUGGCCUAACUGACGGUGAGAUGUUGGAGAGAUUGUGAGCUUACAUUCGCAAAUUUAGCAGAAUGACUAAAGAAAUGCGUCCAAGUCACAGAGUUGAUGUACUCAGUGAUGCUCUUUUACAUUAGGGAAAGAAAACGAAGAUUAAUUUAGGCAAUUUGCUGAUGGCAAGGAUGAAGCGAGCUGUUGACGUGGAAGAAACUGCAAAAUCAGAUAUUGAAAAGUUAUGCAGGUGCUUUCCGUCUCACAGCAUUUCAAUAGAUGAUAUUCGUGAGUGGAUGAAGGACGAAUCGACUUUUUUUGGUCGUGAAGUUGAGACUGAAAACUUUUUUUAACAAAUAUACGUAAAUCUUGAACAACUUACAGAAGAAGAAGAUUGGAAAUGCAAGUACGUUAUAUACCUGGACUUGUACGCUGAUCUUUACCAUCGAUGGAAUGGUUGCACUGAUCCAAGUGAACUGACUGUUCCAUUUAAUCAGAUGAAAAAAUUGACGAGCAGUUGAAGAUCAUGGAAAGGGAAAACUCAAUUUCUGCACGCUGGCAAAAUACUAACUCAGAAUUUGUUGGGGAUGUUGAGAAAGCAAAGGAUAGCAAGGGAUUGACUGUGUUUGAAGCUACAAAACAGUGGGCGGGAGAUAAGAGGAAGAGAGAGGAUAGGGGAGAUCCUGGUGUGAUUGAUGGAUACAAGGAUACGAUUACUACAAUAAUCAUAACUUUUUAAAGAUUGUUCUACUAUCUCUUAUUCUCUGUUAUCCUAUAGGACCAUGGAGUUAGUUUGUUGAUGAAGAAAAUAUUGCUAAACCAUGGGAGGUAUUUCAAUUACCCAAAUAAAGAGUUUUAUAAAGAUAAUUUUCAAAUCAAACAAUUAUUUUUCUGGCUUUUUACCUUGAUGAAUACAGGAAGAGUCAACAAUCCUUGAGGAAUA